rnacentral:tRNA from 1 species
GGGGGUAUAGCUCAGUGGUAGAGCGUGUUCUUAGCAUGCGUGAGGUCCUGGGUUCAAUCUCCAGUACUUCUG